CCUACGGGGGGCUGCAGUAAGGAAUAUUGGACAAUGGGCGCAAGCCUGAUCCAGCCAUGCCGCGUGAAGGAUGAAGGCCCUAUGGGUCGUAAACUUCUUUUAUACGGGACAAAACCCCCCGACGUGUCGGGGGUUGAUGGUACUGUAAGAAUAAGGGUCGGCUAACUUCGUGCCAGCAGCCGCGGUAAUACGAAGGACCCAAGCGUUAUCCGGAUUUAUUGGGUUUAAAGGGUGCGUAGGCGGAUUAGUAAGUCAGUGGUGAAAGCCCAUCGCUCAACGGUGGAACUGCCAUUGAUACUGCUAGUCUUGAGUAUGGUUGAGGUGGGCGGAAUGUGUCAUGUAGCGGUGAAAUGCUUAGAUAUGACACAGAACACCAAUUGCGAAGGCAGCUCGCUAAGCCAUAACUGACGCUGAGGCACGAAAGCGUGGGGAGCAAACAGGCUUAGAUACCCCUGUAGUC
rnacentral:rRNA from 1 species